rnacentral:lncRNA from 1 species
CUUUAGAGAGGUCUCUUAAUAGACUCAAGUUCAAUACAAUUUUAUUUCUCCUUGGCCCUUCUAUUUGGGGAUUUGGAUCUGGAGAGUGAGACACCUUCUUAAUAGUAACUCAACAACAAAGUUAUAAAAGCUACGGCGUUGUGUUUGGGGUUCACAACUCAAUACGUCCCCCGUUGUAUAAGAAAACUGUUAUUUUGCGUGUUCUCAUUCGAAGGCUUUAACUCUCUAGAAUAUGAUUCGGCUCAAGAAGUUUUCCUUUUUUUUCCCAUAAUAA